UACAGAGGUCCCAAGCGUUGUUCGGAUUUACUGGGCGUAAAGGGUGCGUAGGUGGUUGGGUAAGUUUGAUGUGAAAUCUCCGAGCUUAACUCGGAAAUGGCAUUGAAUACUAUUCGGCUAGAGGUUUGGAGGGGGACUGGAAUUCUUGGUGUAGCAGUGAAAUGCGUAGAUAUCAAGAGGAACACCAGUGGCGAAGGCGAGUCCCUGGACAACACCUGACACUGAGGCACGAAAGCUAGGGGAGCAAACAGG
rnacentral:rRNA from 1 species